rnacentral:tRNA from 1 species
ACCUGACUGGCUCAGUUGGUAGAACAUGUGACUCUUGAUCUCAAGGUUGUGAGUUCAAGCCCCACGAUGGGCG